rnacentral:lncRNA from 1 species
ACACAAAUACUCAUCACUGUCUUAUAAUUACCUGCAAUAUUCAGUACAGUAACAUGCUGUACAGGUUUGUAGCCAUCCAAUCUGUCACACUCAACAUUUCCUAAUGCAAACUUACUCUCCUGUUCAACUCUCCAGCUUUGCUGUUUUCCUAGAGCACUGAGUGGCACAAGAUCCGCUAUUGUGAGUGACCUGCUACCUUUUGCCACUGCCCUGGCUCCUUUAGAACUUUUAGGAUAUUUUUAGGAUUUUUUGGAAUUUUAGGACUAGUUUUCAUUGUGGGUCAGCAGCAUAUAUCUUAGAACAUGAAGAGCCUUUAUAUAAAAAGAAUGGUGACAUUAGUAGAGUAUUCCUUCAGUUAUGAAUAAAUCUACUCCAUUGCAUAUUUCACCAUAGAGUUUUCAAUAUUAUGUAAAAUUUGAUACUUGUGACUCAUAAGGUUCAUAUAUCAUCUUGAUGACUUUAAUAAAUAUUGUAAUAAUCAUUUU